rnacentral:lncRNA from 1 species
UCUAAGGUCUUUCAGCUCUUAAUCAAAUUCUUGAAGUGUUAUUUGACAUUUUAAAAAAUACAUAGAUGGAGCAGAUUCUCCAUAAUUUUGUGUGUGUUACUGUUUCCUAUGGCUUGAAUAUUUUCCCCAAAUUUCAUGUGCUGGAAACUUAGUCCUCAAAUUAAUAUGUUGGUGGUAUUUGGAGGUAAGGCCUUUGGGAGAUAAUUAGGAUUAGAUAAGGUCACCAUGAGUCCCUCAUGAUGGGAUUGAUGUCUUUAUGAGGAGAUGAAGAGAGACCUGAGCUAACAUGCUUGCUCUGACUCACCAUAUGAUGCCCUCUGCCACAUUAUGAUGCAGCAGGAAGGCCCUCACCAGAUGCAGCUGCUUGAUCUUAGACUUCCCAGCCUCCAGAACUGUAAGAAAUACAUUAAAAAAAAAUAAAUUACACAGUCUGUGGUAUUCUAUUACAGCAAUGCAAAAUGGACUAAGACCCAAUUGUUAUUGUUACUGUUGCUUCUUAGGGAAAAGAGAUUGUUAGUUAUGAACAAAACUGCUACUUCCUUUCUUGGUGAGACUCUAGAAGUAAAAGUACUUUCUAUAUGUGUCCUAAAUCAGGAGGCCUCAGAGUAGAGAAAAUUUGGAGGGGCUUUCUGCAACUGAAGAGGAAAGAGAAAUGAAGAUAGGUACCCUGGUAGAAAAUUUUAAAAUUCUCAGAACACAAGAGGAGAAAGUUGAGGAUAGGGAAGAAGAGAUGAGAGAGAGGAAACCGCUUCAAACCACCACUACCUUCCAAAUUCCCCAUCAACUUGGGUCACCAAAAGGAAGAUGGCCAGGAAAAGGAUGCUUUCGCACAGCAGAGCCUAGGAUGCAGGACCCAGGGAGCACUGGCUCUUCAAACAGCAGAUUUUAUUGGUAUUUCCACCAUUGGCCUCUGCUGAAAAACAGCAUGAAAAACAUCUUUGGAAGAUUAAAAAGGAAGUAACUUUUUACAAACACUUUAAGUUGUGAUCUACUUGUAAAGCCAGCUAUAUCAACAAGCGAUUGAUCCCCAGAAACAUAUGCAAAGGAGCCCCUCAGUUUGUCUCUGAUCCCCUUCCUUCCUACCCCCUAGAGGGAUAGGCUCUUUGAUUUUAAAGCAACUUCCACUGAGGCCAGGAGUUAGCUGCCUGGGCUGUCAGUUUCUAGCAAAGGGCAGCCCAGAAUAAAUUUGACUUUUUAUGUAUUCUACUCUGGAACAGAAAGAGGCAAAGGUCUCCCUGUCUCCUCCCAACUUCACACACACUUAAAAUUGGCAUGCCCCUUCUGCAGUUUUUAGCAGACCUUUCAGGAAAUAUUAAGUUAGACUGAAAAUUCAGAGGUCCUCGUGACUGUCUGGGCUACUUUAAAAUCCAG